GACGAACGCUGGCGGCGUGCUUAACACAUGCAAGUCGAACGGAGUGGCGAACGGGUGAGUAACACGUGGGUGACCUGCCCUGCACUUCGGGAUAAGCCUGGGAAACUGGGUCCAAUACCGGCUAGUGUGGGAUGGGCUCGCGGCCUAUGAGAUUGUUGGUGGGGUAAUGGCCUACCAAGGCGGCGACGGAUAGCCGGCCUGAGAGGGUGGACGGCCAAAAUGCGACUGAGGCACGGACCAGAGUCGUACGGAAGGCAGCAGUGGAGAAUAUUGCACAGUGAGCGGGAGCGUGAUGCAGCGACGCCGCGUGGGGGAUGACGGCCUUCGGGUUGUAAACUCCUUUCACCAGCGACGCGGUAGAUGGAGAAGAAGCACCGGCUAACUACGUGCCAGCAGCCGCGGUAAUUC
rnacentral:rRNA from 1 species